UACGGAGGAGGCAAGCGUUAUCCGGAGUUAUUGGGCGUAAAGCGUCCGUAGGUGGUUUUACAAGUCAGCUGUUAAAGCGUGAGGCUUAACCUCAUACAGGCGGUUGAAACUGUAGGACUAGAGUUUGGUAGGGGUUGCGGGAAUUCCCAGUGUAGCGGUGAAAUGCGUAGAUAUUGGGAAGAACACCGGUGGCGAAAGCGCGCGACUGGACCUGAACUGACACUGAGGGACGAAAGCUAGGGGAGCGAAAGGG
rnacentral:rRNA from 1 species